rnacentral:lncRNA from 10 species
GUUUAAAAUGAUCGUUUGGAAUCCAAAGUGUUUUUGGUCAUUAACAGGAAGCAUCUUUUCUACAUUACGGUUUCAUGUGACCAAAUUAUGGCCAUAGUAUUUCAGAUUUAUUCAUCCACUAAGUAUUUAUUAAGUACCUAUUCUGUGCUAGGUAUCAGGUGCUGGGGCUAUAGCAGUAAGGAAAGUAAGUGGACAAAAGGAUUCCACACCUGUCACAGGCGCUGCCCCACUCCCUGAGUCAGGUGAGAUGAGCUCCGGAAGGCAGGUGGGUAAUGGAUGAUGCUCACCUAGUGUUCCUUGGGCCAUGAAGAUCAAAUAUUUCAGCCCCAUAGGAUGUGUAAGCUUGAUUUCUGGUCAUCUCUCCUUAAGGAAUCAUGGACCAUUCAUUAUUUUGUUUAAAAGGACACAUAAGAACGUACAUGUCUCAAUAGAGUUACUGGUCACAGGACUGAACUGUGGUCAUGAAAGCCAAGCAACUUACUUUCUGGCCUCCAUAUUGCUUUGUAGGAGAAAUGAUACUGACAAUGAUGUCACACGAGGAGGGAAGCCAGGCACGAAUCUGGUGGAGGUGCGGUCAGUUGUGACCAGCUUUGCAAAGGGAGCGGUGGGCGAGGCUGUGGUCUCUCCCAGGUGACCUCCAUCGCCAUGCAGAGCUGCUCUCACUUCUCCUCGGGAAAGGCCAGCGUCAGGUAUUCCUAGGAGGAAGCCCAGGUGUGUCCAGAGAACAGUAGUCUUGUUAGAACUGGAAAAAUGUCUUAUGGCCAGGUGGCCCCUGGUCUGAAGGAAAAAUAGGAGCUGAGUGUGAACUUUUAUCACUCAGAAGAUAUAAUCCACCUCUCCCCUCCUGCCCUUCGCUCCUGGGUUGGUUGUGAGGACAGUGCUUUGUGACAGCAGUGGAGCCCUGUCUGUCCUUCCGGGCUAGAUUUCUUCUUUCUCUUAUUCCUCCUGUUUCGUUGUAUCCACGAUUUGUCGAGUUGCAGGGCUCACCCUUUCCUGAAGAAACCAUCUCUUUUCCCAGCUCCGCACCUUUGUCCGAGAUGGAGGCGUGUCCUCCCGCCCAUCCCCAGUGGGGGGUGUUCUGCCCAUUCUCCAGAGCCCAGCACUGCUCCAUCUCUUUUCCUCCCUCUCCUUCCCCUUGCUGUUACCUGCUGCCUUCUUGUGCUCCCACUGCCCUUGGCCAUCCCUCUGUGUCAUUGUGCGCUGUGGUGCACCUGUCUUCUCUACUACACCUUAAGAGCAGGACUCUGCCUCCUUCCUACCAGCACCUCAUGCAGCAAGUGCUGCCAAUAGCAGGCACCCAGCAGAUAGCGAAUGCACGACUCCAAAACCCAGCUUUGCCUCCUGGCUGUAGUUCAGACUAGCUGUGUGACACUGACCAAGACACUUGACCUCUCUCAGACUCAGCUUCCUCCUUGAAGACUGGGAUGCUAUGUAGCUCAGAGGAAACAUACACCUGAAGGUGCUGCCCCGGGGGGUGCAAUGACCUGUUACUGAGGCUGGAUGGAGGAUGGCAUCCAUCAUCAGCUACAGGUGCCUCCUCUAUCUACAGGUUCCUGCUCCAUCUAUACUAGCCACCUCCUGGACAAGGGCUCCAGUGUCCUCCAUGACACCAGCUUUCUCCAGAGCCUGUGCAGGAUUUCCUUCCUCUACCCUGAAUCAGGGUGAUUCUUAAAGGACAGUUUCAGGAACAUAUAGGGGCACUUGGGUAAUCUUGGUCAGUAACUGACCUUUAACUAUCAUCCAUGUGAACAUCUACAGUUAGGGAUUUUCUUGGUGAUGUUUGGCAAAAAGUAAAGAAUUCCCCAAGUGUGAAGCCUCAUUCAUUCACUUAUUCAACAAAUAGUUAUUGAGCACCUACUAUGUGUUAGGCCCUGGGCCAGGUGCUGGGAAUACAGCAGAGACAGACCUGGCUCCUGCCCUCAUGGAGUUUGCAGUCAUUCAUUCACUCACUCGGUGACUUUGGACACCUCCCCCUCCUCUCUCCAGGCUUUAGAUCUCUGAGAUUCUCUCUGAGUCUGGGAUGUAAAGACAAAGUAAAACCUGAAAUCUGGAAAGCAGAACUAUAAGAGCUUUGUUUCUGAUGGGGGUGUUGCUGCAGACAGAACUAUGUCCAUCUCAAAUUCUGACACUGGACACAGGCGUGGGGGUUUCAAGCAGGCCAAGGGUGGGAAACCACCUGACUGCAUUUUUCUUUAUCACUCACACCUCUAACAGUAAGACCAAGUGGGCCUGGCGGAGGCAUUUGAGGGCUUUUGUGUGUGCAGGCUCUGGCCCGUCCUCCUGCCUUGCCUCCACCGCAUCCCUCAUGCACACCUGCUGCAGCCUCAUCAGACCACUCCCUGUCUUUUGGACAAAGCCUGUGUGCUCCAGUCCCAUCCCUCUUCUUGGGCAGUUUCUUCAGGCUGGAGUGCCUUUCUUUUCUACUCAUCCUUCAAGGCUCAGUUCACACACCACUGUCUCGUGCAGCCUUCUCUCAGAUGGCUUCAUAAAACUGACCACCCGGACAACAAGAUGGUCACACAGCUAUUAGUGGAGGUUAAGUUCAUUCUGCCUUCAUUAUAGUUCAUUUUUCUUGUAUAUCUCUCUCUGACUAGACUAUGAGCUAUUGCAGUGAAAGGGCUGUGUCCUUCAUCACUGUCACCCUCCAGUGACCCGCAGCCAGGAGGUGUCAGUGAUUGCCAUUUGAGUUGAACUAUUUAUUGACAUCCAGUGUUGUUCUGCCAAAAAUCCUGAUCCUAGGCAUGGUGGUUUGCACCUGUGGUCACAGCUACUCAGAAGGCUGAGGUGGGAGGAGUACUUGAGCCCAGGAGUUCGAGGUUACAGUGAACUAUGAUUGUGCCACUGCACUCCAGCCUGGGCAACAGAGUGAGGCCCUUUCUCUAAAAAAGCAAACGAAGAACGCUGAACCCAAGGUCUUGCCUCAAAAUCAAUUCCCCCUUCCCCCUCCAACACAUACACCGCAACAGAAUGAUACAGCUAUUGUGAUUGCUAGGAGAAGGGCUUUGGGCAGUGCCAGUCUCCUGUUUGCAGUAACACCUGCUCUUUCUGAAGAGCUACAUCAGUAACAUGGUGGGUUUUCCUCACAACUUAAAAGUCUGAUCGUAACACAUUCAUGGAAACUAGAACCAGCACACGAAACCAUUGGCUUGUGGCCCUAAAGAAAUAACUCUGUGUCCAGAAAAUGCCAUGUUACCAGGUUGCCUACAGCUUUGCCUGUAACAUGGGCACAGGCUGGGACAUCAGAUAGAAGCUGGUUCCCAUGGUGGCUGGGUUGGGAUGGGCUAAGUUAUGUUGCAGUAACGUACAACCUCAUCAUUUUAGUGGCUAGCAUGACGAAGUUUUAUUUCUCAUGCUACAUGUCUACUGUGGCUUUCCCGGUGGCUCAGGGUUCUCAGAGCCCCUGGCAGAUGGAGGCUCCACCCUGUGGGACGUCACCAGUUGUUAUGGCUGGGGAAGGACACACUGGAGGCUCUUGCUGCUCUGAGCCACAGGAGACAUUUGUCAUAUCUGCACACAGCCCACUGGCCCUGCGGCAUCCUACCACCUGCCCAGAAGGAGGAGAACCAGAAUUACUGCUGAGCAGCUCCUCUGCAUGUGGGUGCAAUGGCGUCUUAUGACUCUCAGAAAGCUACUCUAGUGGCCAUCUACCAGUGUCACGCAGUGUCACGCUCGGUCAUGGCCUGGAAGAUCAGAGUCACAGAGGGAUAGGACCUGGAGUGUCUCUGAAAAUAGCUGCCUGGUUUCACUCCCCGGUUUUACGCCUCUUGAGAAGCAGAGUGAUGCCUAGAAUGAGCCCUGGACUGGGAGGGCACGUCCCAGGUUUGAAUCGGGGCCUUUGUUCCUUUUCUGCUGUAUGACUUUGGUCAGAUUUCUCCUUCUGAGAAGUGGAGCCAAUUAAGCGAUCUCCGAUAUGCUGUAAUCUCUGAAACAUUUCCUCAUAUGUUUCUAGCAACUUCCAACCUGAGGUCUGAUAGACCCAGGGUUACUUUGCAAGCUAACUGACAUAUCAGUCUCAUUGUCUGGUAAAUCUAAUUUUAACCACUUAAUACUUAUUUUAGGCUUCACAAAUUAUUUUAAAAGAAAAGAUAGGGGCAUAACAAGAAGAAAGCUUCGGUUACAAUUUCCCCGAAAUGCCUGGAUCUGGGAUUCCUGCUUCCUGGCUGUGUGGCAGAGAAGAUGAGGAUGGCCCUGGAGUCAGACGGGACUAGGGUCCAAGCCCCAGCUCUUCCACUUGUUAACAAUGUUCUCAGCCUCAGCUUCCUUACCUAUACCAUGGAGACGGCAGUAUUUCCUUGUGGGCUUGUUUUAAGGAUCCAGUGACAGGAAGCAUGCGAAGCUCUUAGAACAGAGCCUGGCACUGGUAAAUAGUCAGUGAGCAGUAGAUGAUAUUAUUACCAUCCUGUCCCUAUCCCUGUCCCCCAGCAAAUAUUUUGGCUUUUAAAUGUUUUAAAUGAUUUCUUGAGAAUAAGCAAUGGGUCAGAUGAAAUCUCCUUACCUCUCACCUACUGGCCAUGGCCUAAAUGUCUGUAGGGAGCUGGAGCCAGGUGAGGGGAGCUGUGGUUUGGGAAGUGCCGAGUUCAUUAUGAGCAAGUGCACGGUGCUGGGAUGGGCUAGGUUCCCCGCACCUCGCCCUGCCACUGCCUCCCAGGACCUGCCUCUUGCUCCCCUGCCACAUAGACAGUCUGCUUGCCCCCUGCUUUCAGGGACCUCAUGGUCCCUGCCCAAUUUAAAGUUCAAACUCUGCAACUGCACAAAGUUGCAGGCUUGGCAGCUGUGGGACCUGGGCUUCAGAGACUCCAGGUUCCUCGGCCUGCCCCAGGAGGGCCCUGCUGAGGUGAAGUGGGCAUAGGAGAGAGAGUGGACAGAGAAUCUGAAUACUGGGUCACGUUGCAGUUCUGCGCCUUGGAUGCCAUAGGCUCCAGGCCCAUAAGCCCGGCUUCACUAGGCCUGGGUGUCUGGGUUGUGAAAUGGGGUGUCUCCUUCCAGGAUUGCCGUAAGGACCUGGAUUCAUCAAAGCUUAAAGUAAAUUGCUUUGUAAGGUGGGAGACACCGAGUACAGGCGAGGGACUUUAUUAGGUCAGGGAUUUAAUCAGGCAUCUGUUUUUACAGAUUUCUUUAUUCCUGUUCCCUCCCCUCCCCUUCCUGUCCUUUCACAAUAAAGAAUAACAACUUGACACAGCUUAGAGACUAAAAAUCAUCCUUCAAUAAAGCAGCAGAAGUUGCAAAGUUUCCUAUGAUGCUAUAA